rnacentral:rRNA from 1 species
GACGAACGCUGGCGGCGUGCUUAAUACAUGCAAGUCAACUUGACUUUAGAUAGCAAUAUCGAAAAGUAGGGUGGCGCACGGGUGCGUAACGCGUAGGUAAUCUGCCCUGAGGUCUGACAUAACCCGUCGAAAGGCGGGCUAACAUCAGAUGAUAUAUAAUCACGACAUCGUGGAAAUAUCAAAUCUUCGGAGCCUUGGGAUGAGCCUGCGUCUGAUUAGGUAGUUGGCGGAGUAAUAGCCCACCAAGCCUACGAUCAGUAGCUGGUCUGAGAGGAUGAUCAGCCACACUGGAACUGAGACACGGUCCAGACUCCUACGGGAGGCAGCAGUAAGAUAUUGCUCAAUGGGGGAAACCCUGAAGCAGCAACGGCCGCGUGAAGGAUGAAA